UGCUUGUACUUUAAGCUUCCUGUGCGCUUCUCACACCUUAAGUUCGGGGGAAAAUUACUCCAUCGUUGAAGAAGAAACUCAACUUUGAAAGGAUGAAUGAUACCUAGUAUUCUGCUUGCUGCUCCAGAGUAAACAGGCAUGAAGGAAAAUAAGUGAAGCCAACAAAUGUGCUAUUGAAUUAUCAUCACCUAACCAGAAAAAAAUUUAGCUGACGCCUCCAUCUUACAGGAUGCUUCAGCCACAAAUCAUUUUUCUGAUAGUGAUAUCAUUAGUGGAAGAAUGUUCAGGCGGUAAGUUUUUUGAAGCUUUGAUGUUUUUUUUAUCAAGAUGUGUUCACUGUUUUUCAUUUUAUCAUUUGUGUUUGUAUUCAUGAUGCUCCUUUAAUAAUUGACUAUAGAAGAAUUUCUUCUCAUUUGGUCAGUUUGUCAUUAUUAACGUAUUCAAUUACUGUGCUGGUGUCAUAAUUCUCUAACCUGAAUUAACACCCUAGCAUCAGUAUCCAUAUUCUCCAUACUGUUCUCUAUACAUUUCCUUAGAUGAUAACAGUUAG